UACGUAGGUGGCAAGCGUUGUCCGGAAUUACUGGGCGUAAAGCGCGCGCAGGCGGCCUUUUAAGUCUACCCGUGAAAUGCCGGAGCUCAACUCCGUGCACGCCGGGGGAUACUGGGAGGCUGGAGACAGGUAGAGGCAAGCGGAAUUCCGGGUGUAGCGGUGAAAUUCGUAGAUAUUCGGAAGAACGCCAGUGGCGAAGGCGACCUACUGGACACAUAUUUACGCUUAGGUGCGAAAGCGUGGGGAGCAAACAGG
rnacentral:rRNA from 1 species